rnacentral:rRNA from 1 species
UACGAAGGGGGCUAGCGUUGUUCGGAUUUACUGGGCGUAAAGCGCACGUAGGCGGAUCGAUCAGUCAGGGGUGAAAUCCCAGAGCUCAACUCUGGAACUGCCUUUGAUACUGUCGAUCUGGAGUAUGGAAGAGGUGAGUGGAAUUCCGAGUGUAGAGGUGAAAUUCGUAGAUAUUAGGAAGAACACCAGUGGCGAAGGCGGCUCACUGGCCCGGUACUGACGCUGAGGCGCGAAAGCGUGGGGAGCAAACAGG